rnacentral:sRNA from 1 species
GCCGGGCGCGGUGGCUCACGCCUGUAAUCCGAGCACUUUGGAGGCUGAGGCGGGCGGAUCACCUGAGGUCGGGAGUUCAAGACCAGCCUGACCAACAUGGUGAAACCCCAUCUUUU